rnacentral:lncRNA from 1 species
CUCAGAGCAAGCCCAGGCACUAAUUUUCGCCGGCAAACCAAAAUGAGGCAAUGUAAGACAGAUAUUUGUAGUGCCUGAAGACUCAGAACUAGACUGAGGGCUCCACUGAAUCUAAAGAACAGUGGCUGGAGAAAAGAAAAGCGGCUGUACAAAUGAGGCACAACCUACAUUGAUCUUUGAGAAUACAAAGAGGAGGACUUCAAACAAGAACCACGUUUUCAGAUGAAUAACGCUCAACAAUGUCACUGAAUAUGGAUGGUAAAAUGCACCACCCUUUGCCUACCUCCCUUGUUUCCAAGUUGGAAAGAAAAACAAAAUUAAAGCUCUGCUUUAUGGUGCAUGCAAAUCUCCAGCUAAACGUGGAUUGCUAAAUUGGAUGUCAUGUCUGUGUCAACAGUGCAACAUGUCACAGAUACAGGACAAUGACGCAAACUCAGGUGAACAGAGGAAGGAAAGGAUAGAGUUUGAAGGGCUGAGGUGUGGAAAGCAAAAGAUUAAACUUUCAAACAACCUCGUCGCUGGACAGAGGGAUGAAGAUCUAACUGAGCUGAGUAUCUCAUGCUACAAACAAUUGCCAUCAUCAAGUGCAGCAAUAAACAAAUCAAAAAUUAAGUUUUUGUAG